rnacentral:rRNA from 1 species
GGAUCUCUUGGUUCUGGCAUCGAUGAAGAACGCAGCGAAAUGCGAUAAGUAGUGUGAAUUGCAGAAUUCAGUGAAUCAUCGAAUCUUUGAACGCACAUUGCGCCCCUUGGUAUUCCAUGGGGCAUGCCUGUUCGAGCGUCAUUUGUACCCUCAAGCUAUGCUUGGUGUUGGGUGUUUGUCCUAUCCAUUGCGACUGGACUCGCCUUAAAGAUAUUGGCAGCCGGCAUUUUGGCCUUGGAGCGCAGCACAAUUUGCGAGUCCAAGCCGGAAUACUGACGUCCAGAUAAGCUUUUUACCACGUUUGACCUCGGAUCAGGUAGGGAUACCCGCUGAACUUAAGCAUAUCAAUAAGCGGAGGA